UGAAUACGAGAUGCUACGGCGUCGAAGCAGUGUAUGUCAGACUUCCAAGAAAAGCUCGCAAUGUCAUAAAUAAAGAAUGCCUGUACCAUAACCGACACAGGUGGGUAGGUAGAGUAUACUAAGGGGCGCGAGAUAACUCUCUCUAAGGAACUCGGCAAAAUAACUCCGUAACUUCGGGAGAAGGAGUGCCUUCUUUAAGAAGGUUGCAAUAACAAGAUCCAAGCAACUGUUUAUCAAAAACACAGGUCUCCGCUAAGUCGUAAGACGAUGUAUGGGGGCUGACGCCUGCCCAGUGCCAGAAGGUUAAAGAAGUUGGUUAGCUUUUGCGAAGCUGAUGACUGAAGCCCUGGUGAACGGCGGCCGUAACAAUAACGGUCCUAAGGUAGCGAAAUUCCUUGUCGGGUAAGUUCCGACCCGCACGAAAGGCGUAAUGGUUUGGAUACUGUCUCGGAGAGGGACUCGGUGAAAUAGACUUGUCUGUGAAGAUGCGGACUACCUGCACCAGGACAGAAAGACCCUAUGAAGCUUUACUGUAACUUGAAAUUGAAAUUGGACUUUAUUUGCGCAGUAUAGGUGGAAGGCGUUGAAAGUAAUCUUGCGGGAUUAGUGGAGCCAUCAGUGAGAUACCACUCCUAUAAUGUUAGAUUUCUAACUUUGGAUCAUGAUCUGGUCAAAGAACAGUUUCAGGCGGGCAGUUUGACUGGGGCGGUCGCCUCCCAAAUGGUAACGGAGGCGUACAAAGGUUUCCUCUGAACGGGUAGAAAUCGUAUCUAGAGUGUAAAGGCAUAAGGAAGCUUGACUGUGAGACCUACAAGUCGAGCAGGGACGAAAGUCGGUCUUAGUGAUCUGACGGUGCUGAGUGGAAAGGCCGUCACUCAACGGAUAAAAGUUACUCUAGGAUAACAGGCUGAUCUCCCCCAAGAGUUCACAUCGACGGGGAGGUUUGGCACCUCGAUGUCGGCUCAUCGCAUCCUGGGGCGGUAGUACGUCCCAAGGGUUGGGCUGUUCGCCCAUGAAAGCGGUACGCGAGCUGGGUUCAGAACGUCGUGAGACAGUUCGGUCCAUAUCCGGUGUAGGCGUUAGAAUAUUGAGAGGAGCCUUCUUUAGUACGAGAGGACCGAGAAGGACAUACCUCUGGUGUACCAGUUAUCGUGCCAACGGUAAACGCUGGGUAGCUAUGUAUGGAGAGGAUAACCGCUGAAAGCAUCUAAGUGGGAAGCCCACCUCAAGAUGAGUAUUCUCAC
rnacentral:rRNA from 1 species